UAUAGAGUUUGAUCCUGGCUCAGAUUGAACGCUGGCGGCAUGCUUUACACAUGCAAGUCGAACGGUAACAGGUCUUCGGAUGCUGACGAGUGGCGAACGGGUGAGUAAUACAUCGGAACGUGCCUAGUAGUGGGGGAUAACUACUCGAAAGAGUAGCUAAUACCGCAUGAGAUCUACGGAUGAAAGCAGGGGACCUUCGGGCCUUGUGCUACUAGAGCGGCUGAUGGCAGAUUAGGUAGUUGGUGGGGUAAAGGCUUACCAAGCCUGCGAUCUGUAGCUGGUCUGAGAGGACGACCAGCCACACUGGGACUGAGACACGGCCCAGACUCCUACGGGAGGCAGCAGUGGGGAAUUUUGGACAAUGGGCGAAAGCCUGAUCCAGCAAUGCCGCGUGCAGGAUGAAGGCCCUCGGGUUGUAAACUGCUUUUGUACGGAACGAAAAGCCUGGGGCUAAUAUCCCCGGGUCAUGACGGUACCGUAAGAAUAAGCACCGGCUAACUACGUGCCAGCAGCCGCGGUAAU
rnacentral:rRNA from 1 species